rnacentral:rRNA from 1 species
GACAGAGGGUGCAAACGUUGUUCGGAAUUACUGGGCGUAAAGCGUGUGUAGGCGGCCAUGUAAGUCGGAUGUGAAAUCCCCGGGCUUAACCUGGGAAUGGCAUUUGGGACUGCAAGGCUUGAGUGCGGCAGAGGAGACUGGAAUUCCUGGUGUAGCAGUGAAAUGCGUAGAUAUCAGGAGGAACACCGAUGGCGAAGGCAGGUCUCUGGGCUGACACUGACGCUCAUGCACGAAAGCGUGGGGAGCAAACAGG